rnacentral:rRNA from 1 species
UGCCAGCCGCCGCGGUAAUACGGAGGGGGUUAGCGUUGUUCGGAAUUACUGGGCGUAAAGCGCGCGUAGGCGGAUUGGAAAGUUGGGGGUGAAAGACCAGGGCUCAACCCUGGGAACGCGAGGGAAACUGGUAAGCUGGAAUCUUGGAGGGGGUACUGGAAUUCCUGGUGUAGGGGUGAAAUCUGUUGAUAUCAGGAAGAACACCGGAGGCGAAGGCGAGUACCUGGCCAAAGAUUGACGCUGAUGAGCGAAAGCGUAGGGAGCGAACAGGAUUAGAUA